rnacentral:lncRNA from 1 species
UUUCAGCUUCCUGCUCAGUCAGGAGGUGAGCAUCUGUGGUUCACCCACAAUCCAGCAUCACCAAGAGAUCACUAGUGAAUUCUUCUCAGGUCUGAGCACCAAGAUGACAGCUACAGAGGCUUCAGUGGAAAUGUUAAAAACAGACCUUAGAUUCACAGACGGACUGGAAAAAGCUGAACCUGGUAAAGUAAUUGAUGAAAUUAGAAAAAUUAUAAGAGGGGCAUUUUUACUCCCCAGCCCCUGAAUUGCAAAGGGAGCUGAAUUUAGACAUGUUAGUAUUUUACAAUCUCCGAAGAAGUUCCGGAGAGAGGGGAAUAGACUAGGUGUGAGGAUAGAUAUAGAAUUGCUACAUUAGUUAUUGUAUUAUGAUAUAUGUUUCUUAAAUACUCAUGAAGCAAGACUAAUGAAUAGUGAAUUUGGUUGCAAGAGGAGGAGGAAACUGUUCCUUGUGUUCAGAGCACUAGUACUCUCUCUUGCCUAUGUCUCUGGCAAUUUGCACACUUGUAGGUCACACCAUGACUUUCAGUAAUAUGCUCUUUAUAUUCCGGGUUAAUGGCAGACUUCAAUGCCAAUGACUCUAUAAUACACCUACUAAGAUAAUUUACCCUGCAAAAGCUGGAACUUCAAGUUUGCAGAUUCUUUGUGGGCAAGAUGAUUAAAAUGAGCUAUAGAGGAAGCUUUUUCAAGUUGGGACUCCUGCAAUUAUUUAUUCUUUUGAGCAAGUCUCCAUUUAGGCGAUCCUGGGAGAGAAACUUGAAAUUAGACACAGAUGUGGUCAAAUCUGUACAAACUUGUAAGAAAGUAUUUUUUUUCCAAUUUCAUUGCUCUUUCUUACCUCCUCCAUUUUUUUUAUCUUUUCCUCUUAUUAUUUUUUGUUUCUUUAUAAGUCCUGAGUAGUGUUUUUUUUUUUUUACCAAUUCUUCUACUGAAGAAUAUUUGAAUUGUUGAAAAUUUUUUAUUUUUAAUAAUCAAUAAAAAAUAAAACUGCUAUAAAUGUUCAUGUACAGGUUUGAAUAUAAACUUGAGUUUUUAUUCCCCUUGUUUAGAACAUCUAGGGGCACCUGAACAGGGCAUGUGGCAUACGUAUGUUUACCAUUUUUCCUUGCUAAACACAAUACAAGGACCUUCCAUUUGUGUCUGUUCUUCAGCAACACUUGCUGGUGUGACUUUGUUUAGUUUUGUUUACUACUCUAAUAAUCAUAUGGAGAUUACCAAUUAUGGUUCUAAUUUGUAUUUCUCAAAAAUCUAUCAACAUCAAGCAUACUUUAUGUGUUUAUUUACCAUUCUGGCAUUGUCUUUAUUGUUGUUACUUUGUAAGUCAUGAAAUCUAAAACUCUGAUUUCUCCAAAUCUGAUCUUUUUUUUUUUUCCUAAAAUCAUUUAGGCAAUUUUGGUUCUUUUACCUUUUCACAUAAUUAAAAAGUGACCUUCUUAAUUUCUACCAAAAAAUAAAAUAAAAUAAAUCAUAAUGCAAUGUUUACUGGAAUAGCACUGUAUUUAUAAACCUGUUUGGAAAUAGUUUGAAUAUUUAAUCCAUGAGUUGAAUAUUCCAAUCCAUUAAUAUUUUUUUAUUUCUCUAUUGAUUUAUGUCUUCUUAGAGCUGUUUGUUGUUUUUGCAUAUAGUUUUCAUUAUACUGAUUAUGAAUAUAUUUUGAUAGCUUUACAAGUUAAAUAUUUUAUCUUAAUUGGUGUUGCUAUAAAUGGUCCUGAUCUUGUAUUUUAAUUUGCAUUUAGUAAUUCUAGCAUAUGAAAAUAGAAGUUAUUUUUAAAGAUCAGGACUGUACCAUAGCUUUGUAAAAAUUAAUUUAUUACAUCUAAUAUCCUUUUGGUAGAUUCUUUGAUAUCAUCAUCAUGGAUCAGGUCAUUGCUGGGUUGAAUGGGAUACAGCUGUGGGGAUAAAAAGCUGCUCAUACAGAGGACCAGCAUGGGAUCCAAGAACACCAAGCUGAGCACCAGCAAUCAGACACCAGUGAUGCUGUAGGUGCCUGGCCUGAUGAGCUCACAGGUACAGAUAGGGGCCCACCCUACUGAGGUCCUGUGCCUCAUGAAGUGGUGCUGCCAGAGGCACUCCUGGCUAAUGAGGAGUACAGGAGGUCAUGUAGGACCUGUGGGAUAAGUGCAGCAAGUACAGAUCCUCACGUCCGUUGAGAUCCCAGGCCUGUGGAUGGUGUCCAGGUGCCUGACUGUGGCAAGAUCCUUGUGGAGUUCUCCUCUGUGUCUGACUGUCAGAAAUCCAUGCAGGACCUUCACAAAUUCACCAACAGAGUGGUUGUCAAAAAAUAUUGUGACCCCUGACUCUUAACCACUGCGGAGACAUCUGGUAGAAGUGGCCUGGGUAGGGUGGGGGCAUGGCUGCCUGGAGGCUUCUCUCCCCAUUUGUCUCGCCUUUUCCCCCUCUGAAGAUGAGUGACAGCCAAAUGACCACCUGAUAGCCAGCAGAAAAUGGAAUGGCAGCAAUUAAGUGUGGGGGGUGGGGAGUAGGGAGGUUAUGACAGGGAAGGGACUGGGGAAGUGCACACAGGCCCACAUAGACACAGAGGGAAUGGGUUGGGAUGAGGAGGGGUGCACAGUAGGGAGAUAAGACCCCCACAGCCCUUCUUAAAACAGCCUUUUCUCUCUUAGACCCCUUUUCUUCUCCCCUUCCCAUGGUAGGUAGGAACAUACUGUGUUUAUAUUUUAUGGCCAAACUAUUUUGAAUUUUGUUGACUGGCCCUUGGUGCCCUGCCCUCACCCCUUUGCAGGACCACAGCACUGGUCCUUCAGUCCUCCCUGGUACCCCACCUGUUUCCCCUUAUUUCUUAAAUAGUUGGUUCUCUUUGGCCUUCCUGACUCUCUCUAACACCCUAGAGGGUACCGGUGAAAGGGAG